UGAGAAAAGCAGAAGUGAGAACUUCUCGCCUUGCGACUAACGUUGUCUGGCUCUACGGAUUAAGAUUUCUUCGGAAAGAAUAAUGGUGUAGUGCGGACUUGUUUAGCAAGUCCGUUUCGUUUUUCUCGA
rfam:Streptococcus suis 98HAH33, complete genome.